rnacentral:ribozyme from 1 species
CCUUAUUCUUUUGCGCAUUGCCUCCAAAGUUUCGAUCGCGUUGGGCCCACAAGAUGAUGACUCUAGUAGAACCCAAGCAGGGAGAACUCUUCACUCUCAUUCAUCCGAUUGGAUCUUGGACGGAUGGA